rnacentral:lncRNA from 10 species
UACACAACACCUUGUGAACACAGAAUUCUGGUGGACCCAGAAUAUGUGGGAGUUCAGUGAGACUUAAAGAGGAAAAGAUUUGACCUUCGAGAGCUGAGGGCAGGCCUCUGUCAGAACAGAGUAUGGAACAUGAAAUUGGUUAUGGAGCCGGACGAGAGGCUGAGAAUGUGGAUCGUCCUCCGAAGACGCUGUCCAGGGAAGACCUGGAGUGAAUCAUGGGCCAAGG